rnacentral:rRNA from 1 species
GACGAACGCUGGCGGCGCGCCUAACACAUGCAAGUCGAACGAGCGAGAGAGAGCUUGCUUUCUCGAGCGAGUGGCGAACGGGUGAGUAACGCGUGAGGAACCUGCCUCAAAGAGGGGACAACAGUUGGAAACGACUGCUAAUACCGCAUAAGCCCACGACCCGGCAUCGGUAGAGGGAAAGGAGCAAUCCGCUUUGAGAUGGCCUCGCGUCCGAUUAGCUAGUUGGUGAGGUAAUGGCCCACCAAGGCGACGAUCGGUAGCCGGACUGAGAGGUUGAACGGCCACAUUGGGACUGAGACACGGCCCAGACUCCUACGGGAGGCAGCAGUGGGGAAUAUUGCACAAUGGGGGAAACCCGUGAUGCAGCGACGCCGCGUGGAGGAAGAAGGUCUUCGGAUUGUAAACUCCUGUUGUUGAGGAAGAUAAUGACGGUACUCAACAAGGAAGUGACGGCUAACUACGUG